GGACCAGGAUGGUGAUGCGGAAGAUGAAGAGGACAGAGAGCCAGAUCUUUCCCAGACUGGUGGAGUGUUUGUUUACACCUCCCAGCUGGGCGUACAGCGCCCCCCAACUCAUUUUGGAAAAGAGGACUCACUCAGAGGAUUAAGUAGGGCAGCUGAGGAUGGAAAGAUGGAUGAAUGGAAGGGCUUGACCAUCAAUAGCAGACAUCAACAUCCACAACUCAUUUCCUUUCGAAGACGCAGGGGGCGCUGAAGACACUACCAGCAAUCUACAGUAAUGACAAGCAAAAGUAGAAGAAGGUGGAAAAGAUGACACCGACCUGGACCAACCUCCAUGACUCUGCUAUGACGGCCGACUGGACCCUGUUGAGGGCAAAGCCAUCGAUCUCUUUCUUCAGGCAGACGGGAGACUGGCCGACCUUAAAGAAGAGAAACAUGACAAGCAGCUGUGAAAACGUGCACCUUACAGCAGCUCUCCUGUACCUUGGUCAUUACAGCCUGGGUGGAGCUCAUCACACCUGCUGCAGUCUCUGGGUGAGGCACCAACUCCACCAGUCUGACAUAGUACGGUGGAUUUACCUGUACACAAA